GAGUGGUCUGAAGGCAGUGAGUUAUCUCAAUUUAUUGUUCAGUUAUAGAUUGAACUCCUUUUUCAACUCUUUCCUCCCUUCUCAUUACUGCACUUGACCAGUCUUAA
ensembl:Y_RNA Y_RNA Y RNA